rnacentral:rRNA from 1 species
AUUGAACGCUGGCGGCAGGCCUAACACAUGCAAGUCGAACGAGUGGCGCACGGGUGCGUAAUGUCUGGGAAUCUGCCUGGUGGAGGGGGAUAACUACUGUAAACGGUAGCUAAUACCGCAUACCAUCAGAUGUGCCCAGAUGGGAUUAGCUAGUGGGUGGGGUAACGGCUCACCAAGGCGACGAUCCCUAGCUGGUCGGAGAGGAUGACCAGCCACACUGGAACUGAGACACGGUCCAGACUCCUACGGGAGGCAGCAGUGGGGAAUAUUGCACAAUGGGCGCAAGCCUGAUGCAGCCAUGCCGCGUGUAUGAAGAAGGCCUUCGGGUUGUAAAGUACUUUCAGCGGGGAGGCGUUACCCGCAGAAGAAGCACCGGCUAACUCCGUGCCAGCAGCCGCGGUAAUAC